rnacentral:rRNA from 1 species
GAUGAACGCUGGCGGCGUGCCUAAUACAUGCAAGUCGAACGAAACUUCUUUAUCACCGAGUGCUUGCACUCACCGAUAAAGAGUUGAGUGGCGAACGGGUGAGUAACACGUGGGCAACCUGCCCAAAAGAGGGGGAUAACACUUGGAAACAGGUGCUAAUACCGCAUAACCAUAGUUACCGCAUGGUAACUAUGUAAAAGGUGGCUAUACUACCGCUUUUGGAUGGGCCCGCGGCGCAUUAGCUAGUUGGUAGGGUAAAGGCUUACCAAGGCAAUGAUGCGUAGCCGAAGUGAGAGGUUGAUCGGCCACAUUGGGACUGAGACACGGCCCAAACUCCUACGGGAGGCAGCAGUAGGGAAUCUUCCACAGUGGGCGAAAGCCUGAUGGAGCAACGCCGCGUGGGUGAAGAAGGUCUUCGGAUCGUAAAACCCUGUUGUUAGAGAAGAAAGUGCGUGAGAGUAACUGUUCACGUUUCGACGGUAUCUAACCAGAAAGCCACGGCUAACUACGUG